CCCUUAGAUGUUCUGGGCCGCACGCGCGCUACACUGUUCGACGCAGCGAGUCUUAACCUUGACCGAAAGGUUUGGGUAAUCUUCAGCAAAGUCGAACGUGAUGGGGAUCGAUCAUUGCAAUUAUUGAUCGGGAACGAGGAAUUCCUAGUAAGUGCAAGUCAUCAGCUUGCGCUGAUUACGUCCCUGCCCUUUGUACACACCGCCCGUCGCUACUACCGAUUGAAUGGUUUAGUGAGAUCUCUGGAUUGACGCUGGCUAGGGGGCGACCCUUGGCCAGACUGUUGAGAAACUGCUCAAACUUGAUCAUUUAGAGGAAGUAAAAGUCGUAACA
rnacentral:rRNA from 1 species